GGACUACUCGGGUAUCUAAUCCCGUUCGCUCCCCUGGCUUUCGCACCUCAGCGUCAGUCGCUCGCCAGGACACUGCCUUCGCCUUCGGUGUUCCUCCGGAUCUCUACGCAUUUCACCACUCCACCCGGAAUUCCGUGUCCCUCUCGAGCCCUCAAGUCAGACCGUCUUUCGCAUGCUCGCAAAGUUAAGCCUUGCGCUGUCACACAAAACGCGUCCGACCGCCUGCAUGCCCUUUACGCCCAGUAACUCCGGACAACGCUCGCCCCCUACGUAUUACCGCGGCUGCUGGCAC
rnacentral:rRNA from 1 species